AUACGUAGGUGACAAGCGUUAUCCGGAUUUACUGGGCGUAAAGGGCGUGUAGGCGGUCUUGCAAGUCAGAAGUGAAAUUCCUGAGCUCAACUCGGGCGCUGCUUCUGAAACUGCAGGACUUGAGUGCUGGAGGGGAUAGCGGAAUUCCUAGUGGAGCGGUAAAAUGCGCAGAUAUUAGGAAGAACACCGGUGGCGAAGGCGGCUAUCUGGACAGUAACGGACGCUGAGGCGCGAAAGCGUGGGGAGCAAACAGGAUUAGAUGCCCUGGUAGUCCACGCUAUAAACGAUGAGUGCUAGGUGUCGGGGGUCAAACCUCGGUGCCGCAGUUAACACAUUAAGCACUCCGCCUGGGGAGUACGGCCGCAAGGCUGAAACUCAAAGGAAUUGACGGGG
rnacentral:rRNA from 1 species